rnacentral:rRNA from 1 species
ACGAACGCUGGCGGCGUGCUUAACACAUGCAAGUCGAACGGAAAGGCCCUUCGGGGUACUCGAGUGGCGAACGGGUGAGUAACACGUGGGUGAUCUGCCCUGCACUUUGGGAUAAGCCUGGGAAACUGGGUCUAAUACCGAAUAGGACCGCGCUCUUCAUGGGGUGUGGUGGAAAGCUUUUGCGGUGUGGGAUGGGCCCGCGGCCUAUCAGCUUGUUGGUGGGGUAAUGGCCUACCAAGGCGACGACGGGUAGCCGGCCUGAGAGGGUGACCGGCCACACUGGGACUGAGAUACGGCCCAGACUCCUACGGGAGGCAGCAGUGGGGAAUAUUGCACAAUGGGCGCAAGCCUGAUGCAGCGACGCCGCGUGAGGGAUGACGGCCUUCGGGUUGUAAACCUCUUUCAAUAGGGACGAAGCGCAAGUGACGGUACCUAUAGAAGAAGGACCGGCCAACUACG